rnacentral:rRNA from 1 species
AACGAACGCUGGCGGCAUGCCUAACACAUGCAAGUCGAACGAGACCUUCGGGUCUAGUGGCGCACGGGUGCGUAACGCGUGGGAACCUGCCCUUAGGUUCGGAAUAACUCCCCGAAAGGGGUGCUAAUACCGGAUAAUGUCUUCGGACCAAAGAUUUAUCGCCUUUGGAUGGGCCCGCGUUGGAUUAGCUAGUUGGUAGGGUAAAAGCUUACCAAGGCGACGAUCCAUAGCUGGUCUGAGAGGAUGAUCAGCCACACUGGGACUGAGACACGGCCCAGACUCCUACGGGAGGCAGCAGUGGGGAAUAUUGGACAAUGGGAGAAAGCCUGAUCCAGCAAUGCCGCUUGAGUGAUGAAGGCCUUAGGGUUGUAAAGCUCUUUUACCCGGGAUGAUAAUGACAGUACCGGGAGAAUAAGCUCCGGCUAACUCCGUG